CUUCAAGGCUUAUAAACAUGCCUGCCGUCCUCGCACGUGUUCCGUGAACCAAGUUUUAUUGUGCUUGCUGACAGCUUUUGCUGCAACGCAGGAUGGAGGACACUUCAGCUUUCAAGCCAUUACAACCGACUCAGCAUUCACAAAUGGAACCUCCCAUGUAAUGACAACUAAGCCAUGGCAGCGUGGUUGAAGAACUACUUGAGAGCACAGUCUGCAGCUAAAAAAGUAUACCACCGCAAUUCUUCCUGGCGAGCCGGCGAAGCAUUCCACGAGCCCUCACAUACAACGAAGCAACACAGCUAUGUGCGCUAGCGUCAGUACACCCGUUCAGCUACUGGUGGCGGCCUCUCGAUGUUGCGAUCACUACUGCCAAGGAACGUGGAGGGUCCUGAUGUUCUCAAUAAACGAUGUGUCGUUACCAU